GCCCUUCAAUAACGCUGCACACUUGCACGAGAAGCGGUGCGCUUCACAAUGGCGCUUGUACAUAGCGUGGUUGCUCUUCUCGUGGCUGUUACCUGCGUCCACGCUGCUCGGGUACCAAAGCAGCAACUUUGCCUGGAACCACCGUUUCGAGGUCCUUGUCAGGAAUUACAACAGUCGUGGUAUUACAAUUGCACUACACACAUGUGCUACCCGCAAAGAAGUGUACUGUGCCCUAGCGGUCUGAGCUCCUUCCAGCAAAAACCGCUGUGCUUGGCUUGCGAGGCGUCUUCUAAUGAACUGUGCCAACAGCACCAGCUCGUUGGCAGAUGCCAACCUAAAUAUCAUCGUUGGUACUAUGAUAUCAAGGACAGGCGCUGCACAACCUUCAGGCCCGGAGAAUGCAGUGCAGGCGACAAUCACUUCUCAAGUCUACAAAUGUGUAAGGAAGCGUGCGUGCCUGGUAUUCCAAUUACGCCACCAAGAUGCCUCAAACCCGUGUUCCUAGGCCUCUGUCACUCAUCAAGUCAGUCCUGGCAUUUUGAUUUCAGUACAAGGAAUUGUGUCAUGUAUCCCAGUGGACAGUGCAGUUCAGCCCAAACAAAUUCGUUUCUCAAAACAAGUGCUUCAUUGCGUGUAAUCAGCCUAAUGGCAAACAGCUGCAGCAGUGCCUAAUUCCACCGCAUAUUGUGGCCUGCCAAGCAACACAGCCGGCAUGGAUGUUCGACAGGAAAGAGAGGACCUGCAAAAUGUUCUUGAGUGGAGCAUGUGGUCAAGGAGAGAACCAUUUCCAAACCGAAUUGGAGUGCAGACGAACAUGUUUGCAAAUGCCGAAUGCAACACCAUUUUGCACUGCCGAACCAAAAUCAGCAUAUUGUAUGGGCUACAAGACGCACUGGUACUUUGACGUAACCACAAACGACUGCUUCGCUACAAAGGCAGCUGGUGUGGUAAAUAUGCCAACGGAUUUACAUCUUACGCAAUCUGCCGGCAUGCUUGCACCUAUUCACCGAACUACUUGCCUCCACCGAAUCAAGGCAACCCACCUCGGCGCCGCCCUCUUCCACCUAUGCAAAACGAGCUACCUCAGUACGUUCGUCCACCUCAACAAGGCAAUCUACCUGAGCCGUGGCCUUCAACGAAUCAAGGCAAUCCAUAUGGGCAGCUAACACCGCAGCUCAACAGACCCUAAUAAAAGGCAUUAUUUGUGGUCAUGCCUCGAGACACCUCGGAAAUAGGUUCUCAAGCAGAUGUACGAAUUAUUCCUG